UGCUUUCUCUUACCAUUUCCUUUGUGUUUGAACUUCUUUUGUCAAUCUUUAAAUGUAGGCUUGCUAGCAACUAAUUCUUUUCGUUUCCUUCAUCUGACAAUAUCUUUAUUUCCUCUUCAUUUCUAAAGGAGAGUUUCACUGAAUAUAGAAUGCAUGGUUGAUUUUUAUUUUCUUUCUGUCCUUGGAAAAUGUUGCAUAGCUUCCUUCUGGCCUUUAUGGUUUCAUAGGAAAAAUCCACUGUCAUUCCAAUUGGUGUGCUCCUAUUCCUAUUCAGAAUCCAUCAUUUCUCUGUGGCUGCCUACAGGUUGUCUUUAGUUUUCAGAAGUUUAAUUACAAUAUUUCUUGGCAUGGAUUUUGGUUGUGGUUGUUGAUCCUGUUUGGAGUUCACUUGGCUUCUUGAUGUAUACAUGUCUUUUUGCUAUAUUUGGGGAAUUUUUAUCCAUUAAUCUUCAAAUAUUCUAUAGCCUCUCUCUUCUCCUUUGGGCACACCAGUGAUACAAAUGUUGGAUCUUUUGUUAGUGUCCUACAGGUUCUUGUGGGUGUUCUUUUUCUUUUUUUUAGUUUAUUUUCUCUGUGUUAUUCAGAUUGAGUGAAUUACAUUGUCGCCACAGUCACUGAUUCUAUCCUGCCAUUUCCACUAGUCUACUACUGAAUCCAUCUAGUAAGAUUCCUUCACUUCUGUUAUUAUACCUUUUAGCCCUGUAAUUUCCAUUUGGUUCUUCUUCAUCACUUCUAUUUCUUUACUGUGGCUUUCUAUUUUUUCAUUUCUUCAACAGAUUUGCCUCUUGAAGCAUUUUUAUGAUGGCUGUUUUCAGAUCCUUGCCAGAUAACUCCAGCAGUUGGUUCAUCUUGACGUUGGCAUUCAUUGUCUUUCUCAUUCAUGCUGCACAUUUCUUGGUACUUGGUAUGAAAGGAAUUUUCUAUUGUAUCCCAUUUUACCUAUUAGGGAAUUCUGGGUCUUAUUUAAAUAUUUAAUUUUAGCAGGUAAUUGCCCUGAUUCUGCUUAGGGAGCAGGGCCUGGCCUGAUUUGUGGCCUGUGGUCCCACUGACAGUUUAAUCGUCAGAGCCUUUCAGCGUUAUGUUAGUCUGCUUGGUUUAUCAGGUAACAGAUUGCUGAGAGAUGAAUGGGGGACCCAUAACAUCCUCCUGCAGCAAGUGGCAGGGGCCUGUCCAGCUGAGGUCUCAUGGCCACUGGGUCUCUCCAACAGUCCCCAGGGCUGGCUCUGGUCGGGGACCUAGGCACAUGUGCACACUGUACGGAGCCCAGUAAUUGUGACAAGUAUGGUGUUCUUGGGAAGCACACUCCCUAAGCCGCAGUGAAAUCAAUGCCCUGUCCACCUUUCCACCUUGUGACAUUGGUCAAAGGUCUGGGCAAUGACUGGCUUCAAAGACUCAAUGGGAGCUUCCUGUUGGACAAGAUUUAAUCUGCCACCACCUGCCCUCUCUUCUGCUCCAAAGCAGUAGUACCGGGACCAUUUCAAGUUCACUCUCCCAACAUAGCUGGGGUGAAAUAUCUCUGUGUCUCCUCAGAGUGGAAAGCUACAGUCUCUGGGGGCUGACCACGCAGGCAGAAAACUGUGCACAGGGUGGCAGCUAACUGCCAUCUUUAUCUGUCCAUAACCAAAUGAGCCCAAAGCAUUGCUUCUUUUCUGGUUUGGAUCUGAGGGAGUGAGGUUAGAUGGGGUCCUGUGUCCCAUCACCUGACUCAGGAGGGAGGGGACAGGCCCAAGAGGGCAGAGUCCGUAGAAAAGGGCAAACUCCCUUAAGGUGGGGAGGGAGGAGCCUUGGCUGGGGGAACAGAAGAGGCAGGUGACACUGGCUGUCUCCAGCAUCUGUUGAUGUGUAAGUGAAUCCACCAGUCUCAAUAUUCACUUUUAGUGCCCACUUCAAUAGACACUGGGAGGUCCUUCAGGAGCUGGCCCACUUCAGGGGUGUGUUUCUGCAGCCAGUGUGUGUGUAGGGGUAUUCAUAGCAACAUCGAAAACAUGUCAGGACCCAUUAUCAACACUGCAUUGUGGUUAAUCUUCAAAGAUCUUUGAAUAUAACAUUUCAAAGGUCUCUGGGCAGAAAUCUUAAUAUAUUCCUGACAGCAAAACAUUUGUGAUUUUAUAACUGAAUCCACUGAUUUGUAAACACACAGACACACAUUCAUGAACGAGCACACACGCAGACGCACAGACACAUGUGGACAAAGAUACAUCUGUGCAAGCACAUGCACACAUUUGCAGAGACACAUACACAAAAGUGCACACAUGCACACGCAUACACACAUGUGCAAACACACACAAACAUACUUCAGGGUACACAAAUACCGUCUCACGGAGGCUUACCAAGUUCAUAAUUUUAUUAUACUCUGAAUAGAGAUGAUAUUUAAGGAGCAGAGAAAAUGACUAUACAAAA
rnacentral:lncRNA from 10 species